UAGGGAAUCUUCCGCAAUGGACGCAAGUCUGACGGAGCAACGCCGCGUGAGUGAAGAAGGUUUUCGGAUCGUAAAACUCUGUUGUUAGAGAAGAACAAGUGCUAGAGUAACUGUUAGCGCCUUGACGGUAUCUAACCAGAAAGCCACGGCUAACUACGUGCCAGCAGCCGCGGUAAUACGUAGGUGGCAAGCGUUGUCCGGAAUUAUUGGGCGUAAAGCGCGCGCAGGUGGUUUAAUAAGUCUGAUGUGAAAGCCCACGGCUCAACCGUGGAGGGUCAUUGGAAACUGUUAAACUUGAGUGCAGGAGAGAAAAGUGGAAUUCCUAGUGUAGCGGUGAAAUGCGUAGAGAUUAGGAGGAACACCAGUGGCGAAGGCGGCUUUUUGGCCUGUAACUGACACUGAGGCGCGAAAGCGUGGGGAGCAAACAGGAUUAGAUACCCUGGUAGUCCACGCCGUAAACGAUGAGUGCUAAGUGUUGGUCUCAUAAGAGAUCAGUGCUGCAGCUAACGCAUUAAGCACUCCGCCUGGGGAGUACGACCGCAAGGUUG
rnacentral:rRNA from 1 species